CCCCACCCAGAGCCAGGAGUGGGGAGCAGCGGGCAGUCCCAACCUGCCCAGCCCCAGCCCCAGCCCCAUUGCAGUGCACCGGCCCUGCCCCACAGGAGGCCACAUCCUCCCAGGUCGCAGCCUCGGUUCCCUGUCCAAAGGAAGAACUACUUGGAUUCAGAGAAAGGGUUGCAGAGCCCUUGACAGCUGACAAACCCACCACUAGCACUACUCCCGGGAUUUGGUGUUCACUACGUGUGUAUUUUUCAAUACACAUAUUACCCCUUUAGAUAAAGCCCAAUUCAUCCACACCUACUCUCCCAAAGGCCCCCACAGGGGCUCAAUCAUUGAAGGCGCUUGCUGGUGAGGGGCUCCUAGGGCCCACCACUCUCCUCAGCCGUCACCCUCACCCAGGCCCCACAGCAGUCCCCGUACCAUUGCUGAAGGCCACCACGAGCCAGACGGUAUCGCUGGCGCUGGCAAGCCCAUCGAAGACACAGCGCGGCUGCUCCAGGGAGAAGGUGGUGGCUGUGACCUUCCCUUCCAGGUCCCAAGCUGUUAUCUGUGGUGUGUAGGGCACCAGCUCUGUGGCCACGGGGGACAAAAGGACCCCCACUCACCCAGGCUCAGGCUG
rnacentral:lncRNA from 1 species